CUCGUAGGCGGUUCGUCGCGUCCGGUGUGAAAGUCCAUCGCUUAACGGUGGAUCCGCGCCGGGUACGGGCGGGCUUGAAUGCGGUAGGGGAGACUGGAAUUCCCGGUGUAACGGUGGAGUGUGUAGAUAUCGGGAAGAACACCAAUGGCGAAGGCAGGUCUCUGGGCCGUUACUGACGCUGAGGAGCGAAAGCGUGGGGAGCGAACA
rnacentral:rRNA from 1 species